CUCUUUACUUAUGGCUUGAUAUGACAGUGAUUGACUUUAGUGGUUUGGUUGCUUGAAUUUGCAUAACAGGUUGGUUAGGAAUAUGAAAACUAACAACCUUACGAAAAGCAUAAUGAGUAGUUAACCAAUCAAUUCCUAAAAUCGCAUCAAAGGCAAGUAUUUUUAAAGAGAUAAGAUUGACAGGUAACGUGAAAGUGUCGAUUUGAAUCAAAUAAGAUUUAUAAAC
rnacentral:lncRNA from 1 species